rnacentral:rRNA from 1 species
UACGGAAGGCAGCAGUGGGGAAUAUUGCACAAUGGGCGCAAGCCUGAUGCAGCCAUGCCGCGUGUAUGAAAAAGGCCUUCGGGUUGUAAAGUACUUUCAGUCGUGAGGAAGGUGUUAAGGUUAAUAACCUUAGCAAUUGACGUUAGCGACAGAAGAAGCACCGGCUAACUCCGUGCCAGCAGCCGCGGUAAUACGGAGGGUGCGAGCGUUAAUCGGAAUUACUGGGCGUAAAGGGCACGCAGGCGGUUAAUUAAGUUGGAUGUGAAAUCCCCGGGCUUAACCUGGGAAUGGCGUUCAAGACUGGUUAGCUAGAGUCUUGUAGAGGGGGUAGAAUUCCGAUGUGUAGCGGUGAAAUGCGUAGAGAUGUGGAGGAAUACCGGUGGCGAAGGGCGGCCCCUGGGACAAAGGACUGGACGCUCAUGUGCGAAAGCGUGGGGAGCAAACAGGGAUUAGAUACCCGU